rnacentral:lncRNA from 1 species
AUUGAAAUUACAUAUUGAUGGAGAUUGAUAACAACAAUUAUGGUCCUCACAAGUCAUAAUAGACGUUAGUCUUUAUAUAGCUAACCAGGCUGCAUGAUGUUCAAUCCGCAUAAUGCAAAAUCUGCAGUCGGCCGCGGGGUGUUUGAUAGUUCAAAAUGGUCCAUCCAUGUGUUUAGGUUACAUCAUUGAAGAGAUGUUCAGAAGGUUCAGCAAUAUUCGCUGGAAAUUAAAACCAUGCAUGAGGAAGCUUUUAAUAUAUAUGUAAGUUGAAUUCUGAAAGAAGGGUACUCACUGUUGAACUCAAACCAAUGCAGCUAGUGAGUAGUGACCAUCGAAAUUAAACCUGGUCAUUGAUUUGGGGCCACUAGCAGUUAAUUGCAAGGUUGUUGCCGCAUUGCUGAAAUAGACAUCAUGUAUACUUUUGAAAAAAAAAAUAUUUCUUCCAAACAUGUUUAUGCGCAAGCAUCACCCUAACUCUUUGGUUCAAUAGUAAACAACUCUUUGUUUCAUUCUAGAAAUCAGGAUUGAGGUCAUUCGGUGUACGUAUCAGUGGAGGUUAAUUACUCUUCCUUUGACACUUCCACAUAAAGCAAGAAGAUAGCAUUAAUUGAUUAGAUAAUUCGUUUUAUGAUUUAU